UACGAUGAAGAGUUUGAUCCUGGCUCAGGAUGAACGCUAGCGGCAGGCUUAACACAUGCAAGUCGAGGGGUAUUGGUUUUCGGACCAAGAGACCGGCGCACGGGUGCGUAACGCGUAUGCAAUCUACCUUUCACAGAGGGAUAGCCCAGAGAAAUUUGGAUUAAUACCUCAUAGUAUUAUAGAGUGGCAUCAUUUUAUAAUUAAAGUUCCAACGGUGAAAGAUGAGCAUGCGUCCCAUUAGCUAGAUGGUAAGGUAACGGCUUACCAUGGCAACGAUGGGUAGGGGUCCUGAGAGGGAGAUCCCCCACACUGGUACUGAGACACGGACCAGACUCCUACGGGAGGCAGCAGUGAGGAAUAUUGGUCAAUGGACGCAAGUCUGAACCAGCCAUGCCGCGUGCAGGAUGACGGUCCUAUGGAUUGUAAACUGCUUUUGUACGAGAAGAAACAACAUUACGUGUAAUGUCUUGACGGUAUCGUAAGAAUAAGGAUCGGCUAACUCCGUGCCAGCAGCCGCGGUAAUACGGAGGAUCCAAGCGUUAUCCGGAAUCAUUGGGUUUAAAGGGUCCGUAGGCGGUUUAGUAAGUCAGUGGUGAAAGCCCAUCGCUCAACGGUGGAACGGCCAUUGAUACUGCUAGACUUGAAUUAUUAGGAAGUAACUAGAAUAUGUAGUGUAGCGGUGAAAUGCUUAGAGAUUACAUGGAAUACCAAUUGCGAAGGCAGGUUACUACUAAUUUAUUGACGCUGAUGGACGAAAGCGUGGGUAGCGAACAGGAUUAGAUACCCUGGUAGUCCACGCCGUAAACGAUGGAUACUAGCUGUUGGGGGCAACUUCAGUGGCUAAGCGAAAGUGAUAAGUAUCCCACCUGGGGAGUACGGGCGCAAGCCUGAAACUCAAAGGAAUUGACGGGGGCCCGCACAAGCGGUGGAGCAUGUGGUUUAAUUCGAUGAUACGCGAGGAACCUUACCAAGGCUUAAAUGUAGAUUGACCGGUUUGGAAACAGACUUUUCGCAAGACAAUUUACAAGGUGCUGCAUGGUUGUCGUCAGCUCGUGCCGUGAGGUGUCAGGUUAAGUCCUAUAACGAGCGCAACCCCUGUUGUUAGUUGCCAGCGAGUCAUGUCGGGAACUCUAACGAGACUGCCAGUGCAAACUGUGAGGAAGGUGGGGAUGACGUCAAAUCAUCACGGCCCUUACGCCUUGGGCUACACACGUGCUACAAUGGCCGGUACAGAGAGCAGCCAC
rnacentral:rRNA from 1 species